GCCUGGGUAGCUCAGUUGGUUAAGUGUCUGACUUUGGCUCAGGUCGUGAUCUCAUGGCUUGUGGGUUCAAGUCCCACCAUCAGUG
rnacentral:tRNA from 1 species